AAGACUUUCGAAACCUAAAAACAGUAUCCCAACAACUAUUUUAGCAAUUGAGUUACGAAUUCAACAAGACUAAACUGAACUUAACCUUUCAAAACUGAACAACGCAUACGAACUUACCACCAACGAACACAAUCACAUACAAGAAUUAGGCCGUUGGAGCGAAAUCCACUGCUCCACAAUCUUCUUAUACACAACACAUUCACAGAAAUUAAAUUCCCCAAACUACAACACCAUUACGCCAUCUCAAAAAGAAAGAUCCUAAAAUGAACUUACAAAAAUCGAAAGCUAAAAAUAAGCAAAACCACACUUACCAAGCCGAACGAAGAACACUAGAAAUUCGAAACUAGCGAUUUGAACGAAAGAUUUGUGAAUAGAAUCAAGGAAGAAAGAAAAAAAAGAAAUUGGCAGAGAAAGGAAAAGAAGAGAAAAAAACGUCAAGAAGAAAAGAAUUUUGGGGAAAAAAUUAAAUUAAAAUUUUAAAAAUUAAAUCAAAUAAUAUCCCAACUCCCCACUAUCCCACUAACUAACAAAUCCCGCCAAAAUCGACCCAGUAACUCUCAUCCAC
rnacentral:lncRNA from 1 species